rnacentral:lncRNA from 1 species
UUUAUUUAUUUUAACGGUGAUAAAAUAACGGCACCUGGAAUAGUUUUGUGUACAUUUCCCAUUCCUCUUGCCCUGCUGCCUCAGCCCUGGGCAUGCCAGGGAGACCACCACGGUGUGUGGAAAACAGAGGCCCACACUAUCAUUUGCAGGAUCACUCAAUCUUAGAUAAAUUAAUAAAAAAGUCAACACAUGGCUGUGGGCUUUAUGGCAGGUGAAGCGGUGAUGAAGAUGAGCAAAGGCAGCACAGGGGUGUGGAGGAGCUGGUGCAGCCAUGGUGACGGGCUGGCAGCCCCCAUGUGGGCCCUCCAUGGAGGGCAGCUGGGAGCUGCUCCUGCAGAGCAGGCCAGGCCCCUGGGCCCCUCACACUUUCCUGCAAACCCCAUCUCACCUAGCAAGGAGGAGCUGUGAGGCAGUACUGGUCAGCAGUGGGGAGGAUGACAGCUUCCACAGCGGCCUGUUCCUCCCACCGUGUGUAGCACUGAUUCACCUUUUGGUAUUAAAAAGAAAAAUAUAAGCUGAUAAGCUAUCCCCAGGCAGCACUUUCAUGCUACCCAAGACAGCCUCUGUGGCUGCAGAGAUCCUUCAAUAAGCUGUCAAGAGCUGGCGUCCCUGUGUAAAGAGCUGUUCGUCCCUAUAUCUCAUUUUAGAUUGAUGUACGUGCCACUUUCAUAUCCUUCAGCUCAGCGUAACAUUUGCCCUUUCAUGUUCUCAGUUUAAGCCACUGGGAAUUGAAAGCUAUUUCAAAGCAUAAUUAUAGCAAUCUGCAUAUAAAAGGCUAUAUGUCCUACAGAGGAUUCUGCAGAAAAAAGCAAACUCCUCGAAAGAAGAAAAUUAGAAGUAAAUCCCACAACUUAGAUUCAGUAGUUAAUACAUUUUUCAUCUGAUGUGAACAGUCUGUGGAUUUGUAAAGCCAAUGGAAAAUUGUCUAAGCCACUGUACUGAAUCAGUCUUCACCUAUGAAACAACGUAGCUGUUACAAGGGGCCCACAUCUUCAAAGCUUGCUCUCUCCUGGUGUGCUAUCCUGCACCUUAUUGACCUAAAGGCAUGCUGCAAGGCCCACUUGUUUAAGUGAGCUUUGAAGGGCUGGAGAGCUUCCCCACCUUCCUCCCUGUGGGCUGCUGCCAGCUCUUGAGGAAGGAGCGGUCUGUAGAAACAUCACUUGCUAAAAACAUCAUGAAAGAGAUAUAGAAGAGGCCUUUUAAAUAGGUAAAUCUAUCAAG